GCAAAUCAUCCAUAACUUAUAUAGUGGGCCAAAGCUCCAUGGAUAAUCAAGUUGGGUUAAACCCAUAGGAUGCUCCAUGGAGGUUACAUAACCCAUGGGUCAUGGAAAUGAAAGGUCAUGACAAUUAGGGUUUACAUGGUGUAACCCUAAUUGUAACACACUAUAUAAGCAUCAUAUUAUUCACCAAAAUCGGCCACUAGUGUGUGUAAAAGAAGGGCUAGCCGAUUUCAUGAGUUGUGGAUUUCUCUCAAGUCAUUCCAAGUGUAUUUGGUGUUGUGUGAACCAUUUGAGGUGUCACACUUGAGGCACUAGGCACUCAAGCUUCAUGAAGACAUUCUACAUCAAAGAGGUAUGUAUUCUAUCUUGUUACAUUCAUUGUUUUUGUAUGCUAGAUUAGGAUAAUACCUUGGAUGUUCAUAUUUGUAUGUAUAAUAGAGAAAACAUAGAUCCAAGGUAUUUAAAACCAUGUUCUUUGUCACUACAGUUAUAGCGCUCAAAACCCAACAGUGGUAUCAGAGCCUAGGCUUGUUUUCUUGUUAUACUUGCAAAUUUGCUUAUAAAAAUCGAAGUUGUUACUGUUUGAUCAUCAGACUCGGCGAGUCCAUCAGGAGACUCGGCGAGUCCAUGCCUAAAACGUGAUCAAAACGAUCCAACUCGCCGAGUUGGUUCAUGCACUCAACGAGUUGAACCCCCAGACAACAUAAAUUCGACUUUUUUUUUGGCUGGAAUUGGACUAGGAACAUUACCCUAAGAUGUUUUUGGACUUAUAAACUUGUUUUUGAUGUGGUAAUGUUCAUGCUAAUCCAAUUACAAAGAUAAUUGUCAAUAGAUUCAUGUUUUGUAUUAGUUAAGUGAUUAGGCUAAUUACAUGAAAAAGUUUGAUUUGAAUUAUCUUGUUCUUAUGAGUUGCUUAGAUUAAUAGAAAAGUUAAUUGAUUAUGUGUUUUCAAUCCAUUUUAAUCUAAGAGUUGAUUCUAAAAUGUGUUUUUGUAACUUGUCCUCAAGUUAUAUGAAAAUUCACAUUUAAGUUUCAUAAACCUCUUAAAAGUUGGCAAUGGUUACAAAAAUGAAGAGUCUUGUCUCAUUGAAUGGUUUUAUGACUCCAUAACUUGUCCUCAGUUGUGGAAGUUCAAGAGUCACUUCAUUAAGUAAUAAAAUAAGUAACUUUAAUUAAUUCCAUAAGUUAUAAAAUAAAGAAAAGUUAAUUCUUUUAUUAGUUUAAAGUCUUCCAUAACUUGUCGUCAAGUUAUGGAACUUGAAGAGUUUUUAAUUAAAACUACUUUAAACACAUAAGUUAUGGAAUUAAUUAGUUUUGAAUAGUUUCAAAACUUGCCCUCAAGUUUUGGAAUUUGNACACGUGCCGAUUUCUCUUGACCCCUAGGGUCUAUUUAUACUAGUUAGGCUCCCAAGGUUUCACCCUUAAACCCUAAUUGGAUAACUUAGGCCCUAAGCAAUCCUAAUCCCUUCAUGAUAAGCCUUUGGACGAUUUUAAGGCCUAUCCAAAGUCCUUAAAACCGGCCACCCUUUAUCCAUAAGGGAUUUAUAGCCCAAACUAUAACUAUCAUACAUUUGACAGUUUAUGCCCCUUUAUUCAAUUAAUCUCUUUAAGUCACCAAAUUAAUUCCUAAUUAAUUUAUGACUUAUAUUAAUCAAAUAAAAAUGUUAUUAUUCUUUAUAUUAUUCUUAUAAUAUAUUGAUAAUAUUCCUUCUCUCAUUAUAAAUCAUCCUAUCAAGUUGCUAUGGUGAAGGCAACCCAAAAGGACCAUGCACAACCGGGUCAAAUACUUGCAAAAUAUAGUUAUAGCCUUAGACACUAUUCCAACACUUAUCACUACCUAGAGUCUGCGGUUUAUUUACCAUUCAGUCGGCAGUAACACUACUGGAAUAAUACAUUAUUUUCCCAUGUACUUUGUUCAAAUGAAGUCCAAACUAUAUUUUUAUAAUUGAGAGUCUAAUUGGGAAAACUUUUACACACUCAAAGAAUCAAACCUACAAGUAACCAAGUCUUGGCAGAAGACUACUUUUACUAGAAAAUAUAGGAUUUUCUAGAGAUUCACACUAUUUUCAAACUUGAUAACAACAUUCAUGUUACACAAUUGUAAACACUUUUAUACAAGCAAUGACACUAAAUUCUUAUGAACUCACCAGCUUUAUGCUGAUACUCGUUUUCAAAAUAACUUGUAUUCUCAGGUCGUCAGUAGACAGGUACAGAUGCAACUUUUGAGAAGACGGAGCACAUACAAGACACCUCUUUAUUUUGAUUAUACUUUUUGGUGUCUAACAAACUGUACAAACACGCUUGUAUUAUAAUUACUAUAUUAAUGCAAUGGAUGUGGUUUCUUGUUUUUACUAUUAUGCAUUGUUAUGAUACUGUACUUGACGGCCUCCACCCCAGAACGUAUUCCGCUGUUCUCGGUUUUGGGGUGUGACACUUAAGCCCUCUUGGCAAGUAAAGGUCUAUGUUGGGUCACAUCGUGGAGAUGAAGUCACAUAUUGACAAGUCGGGAGAGUUGGGUGUCAAAGUCUUGAGAAAGUUGGUGGUUCAAUCACUUUCUAAGUCAUAUAAUGAGCUCAUUUGGGACUCCUAUGAACCAGACUAUGACAAGACCCUUAAUGAUCUUAUCUAUUUGCUAAGAUCAACUUCCUAAACCGUUAUGGACAUUGGAAAUAAUGACAUUGGAUAUCCAGUAAAGCUCUCUCUUCCCAAUGGAAAGGGAUUGGCCAUAGUCAACUCGGUUGACUAAAUGGUAAAGAGAGAGGCUAAGUCUGAGAUAGUCUCAUUAUCAAGGGUCCAUUGCCAAAGGAAGGAGCAUUAGUUGCGAAGCUGCCUAAUUUUACCUAAGGAUGUUUGACUCUACUUCAGGUAAAAUCCNAUCUAACUCUGCUAAAUUUCUAUUAUGAGAUUCUUGAUACAUGAUGUGACUGGGUCACAUGUUGAUGUUUUAAGAAUCAAAGAAAAGUAAAGAAACUUAAAGAAAGAAUAUGCUGAAUCUGAUCGCGUAGAUGAAUUUCUAUCGCGUAGUUACAAGAUCGGAUUCUUGAGCUACUUCUUAGGAGUUAUGAGAUAUUGCUUAGGAAUAGAUAACAACAAGUUUUGAUGUGCACUGUAAGGAUAGUUUUUCAGCAAAGUUUUUAAAAUAAAAGGAAAUUUUUGAUUUUAUUUAUUUUAAAAUAUCCUUACAAUGGCAUUUGUGAAAAAACUGUGUUGCUUAUAAGAUUCCAUUAAUAGCAAGAGUGGAAAUAUGAAAUUGAUUCUUUCAUUUGUGGUAAUGUCUAAAUGUACCAAAUAAGGAAAGAUUCUCAUCACCCAAGUUUCAAUUGGACCGGAACUUGGAAUCAUGCAAGUUGUAUAGCAUGAUGAAUGAGAACUUUCAAGUUUUGGAAAAUUAAGACUAAUUACUCGGCCACAUGGAUGUGUGAGUCAAGUAAAGGACUAAGGGAUCGAGUACACAUUCUUGUGCACUGAUUAAGUCCACCACAAAAGAUUGAUAAGACUAUUCGUCAUAGUUUACUAAAGCUCAGUAAAUAUGAUUAUACUUACAAGCUUAAGUGUAACUCUGAGACAUUGGAAAAGGUUCCAAUGUAUGGCAGGGCGAAUAAGAAGAAUCAAAUUAGGCAGAAGGAUAAAAGUUUCUCAAAUCUGAAAAGAUGGGAGAGUACUUUAGUAUCAGUUUUGUGAUCAUCUUAAUGAUUAAGAAACCAUAUCAAAAUUAGUUCUCUAAGGAAAUCUUAGUGCAUUCUUAUGACUAAGAAGAGGAACUUGAAUUGUUGAAAUGGUUAAAUCAAGAAGAUGAGUCAUACUUCGUUCCAAUACAAGUCUUAGAGUCAUACUCCAAGAUUGUAACUUGAGUGACAUGUCUUAAAGAAGGUUUAAAACACUUGUCAAAUGUAAGAGUAAAAGUUUUCUACUCUUGUACAUUUGAAAUUGGUAAGUUGUGAUGUUUUGGAUAAAACAAAGACCAACUUAGGCCAAUUGUGUGAAGUGUUUGUCUUGAUUAGAAUCCGCACUAUCUCUUGGAUAUUUGACAAGGGAGUCUUAUAUGUCAAGAGGACAGUGGGAGUCUUAAAGGUCUUGAAAGUCUCAAGAACUAAUCAAGAAUAAAACCUGAAGUUCUUCACUAGCACACAACUUGAGGUUCAUAACCUAUCGUGUUGACAUAUUCUGUGCCCAUUCCAGUUAAAGUUGGCUUUGCAUAUGAGUUCUUAGAGUUCUCAAUUUGUUGCACAACAACUUGGAAGCAAUGGUAGGCCCUUGAGCUGCCAGGUGGCAAGAAAUUAAGAUUGAGUUCAGUCCAUAUGAGUUUGGAUUUGUCAUUAUCCUUGUCUUGUGACUAUGGUUUUGACAAUUCACAUGGAUAAGAACACAUACACCAUUAAAUCUAAGUGUCAUAAGGUUUCUCUCCGAUUCAUGAAAAUGAUGGUGAGGAAACACUUUCACUAAGUAGAUUUUAGCUAGAUAGCAAUUGUGAUAUUUGCAUUCUCAAAGUCGUUAGUGGAGCGUGUGUGGUUUACCGGCACACUAACAUGGAAUUGUGAGAAGUGGCAAAGGUCUAAACAAUCGAGGCUAAGAUUACAACAUCCCUUUUCAUAGUUCUUAAAAUUGUUUAGACACACCUGUGAGCUAUCUAAGAUAAGGUGUAUGAUAUUGAUAAGGGUUUAUCAAAGCAAUCUAGUAUCAGGAAUCUGAACUUUGGUAAGAAAGUCAAUAAAGUCUUGAUUUCUAGAAGUCCAGCUGAUUUCUGAGUACAUGUCAAAACUAGUGGGAGCAUAAGUGUUAUGCUAAUAAUAAUCAUGUUAGUGGGAGCAUGAUAAUUAUGAUAAGUAUUGCAAGUUAGCAAUGUUAAUUAUAGAAAACAAAAGUUUCAAUUGGGAAAAAGUUGUUUUGCUAUAAUUAAGGGAGAGGAAAUUAUGCUUCAUCUCAAAUCUAUAAGCUUAGAUCGUGAGGUUUUAAUCAUUUAGUCAAGGAUAUAUAUGAAUUUCAUGUUGGAAUGGCUCAACAUAAGGAAAUUCUGUAUAUGGGUCCAUUAUUUGCGUUCUAAAAUUCGAUUAUGAUUACGACAUCCGUUUUCAUAAUCUAAAUUAAGAGAACUUGGCAAAUAGAAAUGGAAAUGUUAUAGCAAAAGACUGGUUUAGUCUUUAUGUAAGACAUCAUGAAUCGUGUCCCAUAUGCUUCGGAUAUAGGAUCGAUUACAUGUGCUAUAUUCAUCCGUUCUAAAAUUUUCCAAAUGCCUGGGGCAUUAAGAAGGGAAAAGGUUUAGAACUGGAUAUGACUAAAAGGAUUAAACAAUUGUCGAGGACAAUCUAAGGUUUACCAAAGAUUGGUUGCUCAAGGACAGUUGGAAGUAUAGUGAUAAUUCUGGAAGGACCAUAUUGACAUAAUCUGUAAGGAGGCAACUCUUGUUCAGAAGUGAUAGUCAAAAUGGAAUAUAGAAAUUUUUCAAAGUUAGAAAAUAUUCAAUCUGUGUAAGAUUAAGAAACUUAAUGUAAGGAGGAUAUUUCCAAGGAGUUGAUCUCCUUUGGAAUGCUCUGUAAUGAUUGUUGUCAAGUCUUUCUGACUUUGUGCAUAAUCAUUACAAGAGGAUCAAUGCAUAUAAGUUUAGAAUCUAACAGAUUUCAGUAAAUGGCAUGAAUUUGGAAUUCUUGCAUUUGCAGUAAGGAUUUGGGAGUGUGAAAAGAGAAUCAUUGAAGUUAUGUUCAAUUGAUCUAGUUCACAAAGUAAAGAUCAUAGACAAACAUAGUAUGCAUACUUGGUGUGUGGCAUGACUAGUGUUUAAGAAAACAUAGUGUACAUGCUUGGAGCAUGGGACAACUAUUGUUUUAAAUUCAAGAAUAAAGUUGAUAGCUGAAACAGUAUACAAUGAAUAAUGUGUAAUCAUAUGGUGAUAAAUAAAAGGUGUUUUAUUUAUGUUCAAAGGGUUGAUACCAUAUUGGAUUCAAUUAUUAUUGUGUUUCAUUUUGCAUGUUUUGACUUCCCGAAUAAACUGGGUUAUUCUUCCGGAAUGACUAAGUUAUUCAAACCAUCCACAGUCGGUCAUAUGUUGGAAGUAGAUAUGAAUUAAGACUGUCAUGGGUUGGCUUGUAGAGGUCUAAGGUGUUGGACAAAGGGCUACAACACUCAUGAGUGCUCAUAAGUUCUGAGUAUUGGAUUCAACCCGCGCUCAUUGGAAUCACUUCAUGGAUUUUAUCACGAGUGAUCAUGAGACGAUAAUAUCUUAUAUUCUUCAAACCUAGAGAUAUGAGUUGUUACUAUGAGUUGAUAGUACAUUGAUUGCACGAAAACGCAUUUGGUAACUCGGUGCUAUAAAACGUGCCUUUGUGUAUGAUUCAACAAGUAGUAGAACAAGCCAUAUGAGUCGAAGUUUAUCCAUUCCUUUUACCUUCGGGAUAAAAGCGAUAUCUGUGGGCCCCUCGAUGAUUUGAUGAUGACAAAUGGAAGUGCUCGGCCGGGCCAGGACUGAUUUGAUUUGUUCAAUUAGUCAGUCGUCAUAAAUCGGAAAUCGGGAAACAACAAAUGGACAGAGAGAAUGAUUAUAAUCCAUGUCUCAGUCCAUAUGAUAUCUAGAAUGGAGGAAUAUAUGAUCCCUUAUCUAAUGGACAAGUCAUUGACAAAGGUCAGAGUUCAUCUACAAGGUCAGAGUUCGACAGAAGCUUUUGAGAGCUACGAUUGCCAGUUGGUUCCUGAAGUCAUACGCAAUAAUAGUUUUAGACUUAUCCAAGUGGGAGACUGUUGGAUUAAUGUCUAAGUCCAUAACUAUAAUUGGUAAGACUUGACCCGACCCGGCAUGGUCCAUUUGGGUUGCAUGGCAUCAUGCACUUGGAUAGACUAAAUGAGAGAAAUAAGACACUUAAGGUUAUUAAUAUAUUAUAAGUUCUAGUAUAUUAAUAAUAAGAAUAAUAAUAUUUAAUUAGUAUUGAUCAAGAAUUAAUUUAGAAUUAAUUAUGUGAUUUAAAGAAGACUAAUUAAAUAUAUCAGUUUAUUGUGCAAAUCAUCCAUAACUUAUAUAGUGGGCCAAAGCUCCAUGGAUAAUCAAGUUGGGUUAAAUCCAUAGGAUGCUCCAUGGAUGCUCCAUGGAGGUUACAUAACCCAUGGGUCAUGGAAGUGAAAGGUCAUGACAGUUAGGGUUUACAUGGUGUAACCCUAAUUGUAACACACUAUAUAAGCAUCAUAUUAUUCACCAAAAUCGGCCACUAGUGUGUGUAAAAGAAGGGCUAGACGAUGUCAUGAGUUAUGGAUUUCUCUCAAGUCAUUCCAAGUGUAUUUGGUGUUGUGUGAACCAUUUGAGGUAUCACACUUGAUGCACUAGGCACUCAAGCUUCAUGAAGACAUUCUACAUCAAAGAGGUAUAUAUUCUAUCUUGUUAUAUUCAUUGUUUUUGUAUGCUAGAUUAGGAUAAUACCUUGGAUGUUC
rnacentral:lncRNA from 1 species